CGAAAACGAAUUCUCUCUUGAGUGGAUCCUGAGUACGACGGAGCACGUGAAAUUCCGUCGGAAUCUGGGAGGACCAUCUCCUAAGGCUAAAUACUCUCUAGUGACCGAUAGUGAACCAGUACCGUGAGGGAAAGGUGAAAAGUACCCCGGAAGGGGAGUGAAAGAGAACUUGAAACCGUGUGCUUACAAGUAGUCAGAGCCCGUUAAUGGGUGAUGGCGUGCCUUUUGUAGAAUGAACCGGCGAGUUACGAUCUGAUGCAAGGUUAAGCAGAAAAUGUGGAGCCGUAGCGAAAGCGAGUCUGAAUAGGGCGAAUGAGUAUUUGGUCGUAGACCCGAAACCAGGUGAUCUACCCUUGGUCAGGUUGAAGUUCAGGUAACACUGAAUGGAGGACCGAACCGACUUACGUUGAAAAGUGAGCGGAUGAACUGAGGGUAGCGGAGAAAUUCCAAUCGAACUUGGAGAUAGCUGGUUCUCUCCGAAAUAGCUUUAGGGCUAGCCUCAAGUGAUGAUUAUUGGAGGUAGAGCACUGUUUGGACGAGGGGCCCCUCUCGGGUUACCGAAUUCAGACAAACUCCGAAUGCCAAAUAAUUUAACUUGGGAGUCAGAAUGUGGGUGAUAAGGUCCAUAUUCGAAAGGGAAACAGCCCAGACCACCAGCUAAGGUCCCAAAAUAUAUGUUAAGUGGAAAAGGAUGUGGCGUUGCCCAGACAACUAGGAUGUUGGCUUAGAAGCAGCCAUCAUUUAAAGAGUGCGUAAUAGCUCACUAGUCGAGUGACACUGCGCCGAAAAUGUACCGGGGCUAAACAUAUUACCGAAGCUGUGGAUUGUCCUUUGGACAAUGGUAGGAGAGCGUUCUAAGGGCGUUGAAGCAUGAUCGCAAGGACAUGUGGAGCGCUUAGAAGUGAGAAUGCCGGUGUGAGUAGCGAAAGACGGGUGAGAAUCCCGUCCACCGAUUGACUAAGGUUUCCAGAGGAAGGCUCGUCCGCUCUGGGUUAGUCGGGUCCUAAGCUGAGGCCGACAGGCGUAGGCGAUGGAUAACAGGUUGAUAUUCCUGUACCACCAUUAUUCGUUUUAAGCGAUGGGGGGACGCAGUAGGAUAGGCGAAGCGUGCUGUUGGAGUGCACGUCCAAGCAGUGAGAUUGAGUGUUAGGCAAAUCCGGCACUCUUAAGAUUGAGCUGUGAUGGGGAGAGGAACUUGUUCCUCGAGUCGUUGAUUUCACACUGCCGAGAAAAGCCUCUAGCUAGAAUAACGGUGCCCGUACCGCAAACCGACACAGGUAGUCAAGAUGAGAAUUCUAAGGUGAGCGAGCGAACUCUCGUUAAGGAACUCGGCAAAAUGACCCCGUAACUUCGGGAGAAGGGGUGCUCUUUGAGGUUCACGCUUCGAAGAGCCGCAGUGAAUAGGCCCAAGCGACUGUUUAUCAAAAACACAGGUCUCUGCUAAACCGUAAGGUGACGUAUAGGGGCUGACGCCUGCCCGGUGCUGGAAGGUUAAGAGGAGUGGUUAGCGCAAGCGAAGCUACGAAUCGAAGCCCCAGUAAACGGCGGCCGUAACUAUAACGGUCCUAAGGUAGCGAAAUUCCUUGUCGGGUAAGUUCCGACCCGCACGAAAGGCGUAACGAUUUGGGCACUGUCUCAACGAGAGACUCGGUGAAAUCAUAGUACCGGUGAAGAUGCCGGUUACCCGCGACAGGACGGAAAGACCCCGUGGAGCUUUACUGUAGCCUGAUAUUGAAAUUCGGUACAG
rnacentral:rRNA from 1 species